GAUGAACGCUAGCUACAGGCUUAACACAUGCAAGUCGAGGGGCAGCAUGACCUAGCAAUAGGUUGAUGGCGACCGGCGCACGGGUGAGUAACACGUAUCCAACCUGCCGAUUAUUCCGGGAUAGCCUUUCGAAAGAAAGAUUAAUACUGGAUAGCAUAACGAGAAGGCAUCUUCUUGUUAUUAAAGAAUUUCGAUAAUCGAUGGGGAUGCGUUCCAUUAGUUUGUUGGCGGGGUAACGGCCCACCAAGACAUCGAUGGAUAGGGGUUCUGAGAGGAAGGUCCCCCACAUUGGAACUGAGACACGGUCCAAACUCCUACGGGAGGCAGCAGUGAGGAAUAUUGGUCAAUGGACGAGAGUCUGAACCAGCCAAGUAGCGUGAAGGAUGACUGCCCUAUGGGUUGUAAACUUCUUUUAUAUGGGAAUAAAGUGGGCCACGUGUGGCUUUUUGUAUGUACCAUACGAAUAAGGAUCGGCUAACUCCGUG
rnacentral:rRNA from 1 species